AUUGAACGCUGGCGGCAUGCCUUACACAUGCAAGUCGAACGGCAGCACGGGGCAACCUGGUGGCGAGUGGCGAACGGGUGAGUAAUGCAUCGGAACGUACCUUUCAGUGGGGGAUAACGUAGCGAAAGUUACGCUAAUACCGCAUAUUCUGUGAGCAGGAAAGCAGGGGAUCGCAAGACCUUGCGCUGAUUGAGCGGCCGAUGUCAGAUUAGCUAGUUGGUGAGGUAAAGGCUCACCAAGGCGACGAUCUGUAGCGGGUCUGAGAGGAUGAUCCGCCACACUGGAACUGAGACACGGUCCAGACUCCUACGGGAGGCAGCAGUGGGGAAUUUUGGACAAUGGGGGCAACCCUGAUCCAGCCAUGCCGCGUGAGUGAAGAAGGCCUUCGGGUCGUAAAGCUCUUUCGGUCGGGAAGAAAUCGCACGGGCUAAUACCCUGUGUGGAUGACGGUACCGGAAUAAGAAGCACCGGCUAACUACGUGCCAGCAGCCGCGGUAAAAC
rnacentral:rRNA from 1 species